AGCAUGAAAUCGACAGCCGCGGUAAACCAAUUCUUCGGAGACUGUUUUCUUCAUGCCCUGCGGCUACUCGGAGAUGAAAGAAGGCAAGUACUCAAACUGUUCUGAACUUCUGGAAAAAAAGUUUAAGAACAGGAGAUGACAGAAUACUACCGCCAUGCUCAAUUAUGGAUGAUGGCCUUUUAUCUUCCCAUCACUAAUUAGAGGAGCUACUCCGCUUUCAAGUUCGUCUUUACAUACCAGGCUUCCCUUCUGAAAUAUCCAGCACUGCUGGUCACCAGUACAUGUGCUCUGGGAAACUCUGAGACAAUACUAGAGAAGAGACGAGUCACGACUCCAGCAGAUCACCCACCAUGUUCUCAUUAGAGGAAGCCUCUGCCUCCCACACACAGG